UGAGGAAUUUUCUGCAAUGGGCGAAAGCCUGACAGAGCAAUACCGCGUGAGGGAUGAAGGCCUAUGGGUUGUAAACCUCUUUUCCCAGGGAAGAAGAUCUGACGUUACCUGGGGAAUAAGCAUCGGCUAACCCUGUGCCAGCAGCCGCGGUAAUACAGGGGAUGCAAGUGUUAUCCGGAAUUAUUGGGCGUAAAGCGUCUGCAGGUGGAUUUAUAAGUCUUUUGUUAAAUCUUUGAGCUUAACUCAAAAUCGGCAAAAGAAACUAUUUAUCUUGAGUAUGGUAGAGGUAAAGGGAAUUUCCAGUGGAGCGGUGAAAUGCGUAGAUAUUGGAAAGAACACCAACAGCGAAGGCACUUUACUGGGCCAUUACUGACACUCAGAGACGAAAGCUAGGGGAGCAAACGGG
rnacentral:rRNA from 1 species